rnacentral:rRNA from 1 species
CUCUCUUUGUAUUUUUUAUAUAAAGAGUUGGACCUGCUCGGUGAAUAUGAUUUUAACAGCUGCGGUAUUUUAACUGUACUAAGGUAGCAUAAUAGUUUGCCUUAUAAUUUGAGGCUGGAAUGAAUGGUUUGACGAAGGUUAAUCUGUCUCUAUUUUAUUUAUUAGAAAUUAAUUUUUAAAGUGAAAAAGCUUGUAUUUUUUAAAGGGACGAGAAGACCCUAUUGAGCUUAUAAUUUUGGUUUUAUUAUAUAAAUAAAGUAAUAUGACGUAAAUUUUAGUUGGGGUGAUUAAGGAAUAAGAUUGUUUUAUGGUAACUUCCUUAAAUAUAAAUGAAUAGAUAUAUUAGGUAACCAAUAUUUAUAUUGCUUAUAUUAUAGUUACCAUAGGGAUAACAGCGUAAUUUAUUUAGAGAGUUCUUAUUAAAAAAUAAGAUUGCGACCUCGAUGUUGGAUUAAAGUGACCUUAAGGUGUAGAAGCUUUAAAGGUAAAUCUGUUCGAUUUUAAAAACUU